CGGAGGGUGCAAACGUUGCUCGGAAUCAUUGGGCGUAAAGCGCACGUAGGCGGCGUGAUAAGUUGGGUGUGAAAGCCCCUGGGCUCAACCCAGGAAGUGCAUUCAAAACUGUCACGCUUGAAUCUCGGAGGGGGUCAGAGAAUUCCCGGUGUAGAGGUGAAAUUCGUAGAUAUCGGGAGGAAUACCAGUGGCGAAGGCGCUGACCUGGACGAAGAUUGACGCUGAGGUGCGAAAGCGCGGGGAGCAAACAGGAUUAGAUACCCUGGUAGUCCGCGCUGUAAACGAUGAGUGCUAGACGGUGGAGGUAUUGACCCCUUCGCUGCCGAAGCUAACGCGUUAAGCACUCCGCCUGGGGAGUACGGUCGCAAGACUA
rnacentral:rRNA from 1 species